GGUAGUGUUUCAUUCCCUAAAUUAAUACCUGUGCUUCCUUGCCUCUCACCUUCCCAGUUACUUCUUUGGGGUAUUACUGUGGCACAUUGUACACCCAGAAAAGGCACAUACAGUGAUUAUUUUGUGGGAAAUACUUGAUUCUUUUGAAAUAUAUUUGGAGGGGGUAGCUAGCUAGCCACUGUCAAAACUAAUGCUGUAUUUACAGGACAAAAACAAGUAGAGUUGGACACCUCAGUAAGAGACAGCAUUAACUAAAAGUACUGACUGCCUUUUAAAGGAAUUUUUAAAACUAUUCUCUUGCAAUAAGAGAUCCGCAUUUAUUACCACUGGAUGUCUUCCUUUUUUGUGGCCACCAAUAUAGCAGCUCUCUUUAGAGGGAUUCCCUUUCUGCUAUGCCUUGAGCCAAACUGGCUGCUUUUAGAACAAAAACCAUAAGUAUGGUUUUACUCGAACUUCUCUUUGUUUUUAUUGAGAGAAAUAUUGCCUUCUUUUUGGUACUCCAGCUGCUAAAGAGUGCUGAGAUAUGUUAAAUUAUUUUUUAAAAGAAAAUCUCCAAAUACUUAUUUAACUUGUCUUCUAGAUUCAUGUUGCUUAUAUUUUAACUAUUGAGCAAGUUUAUUAUAAGGAAUGCUGCCAUAUAGAGAAAGCUGAAGAGAAACCAUGGGCAGAAGGCUUUUUUCUGUCUUAUUACACUGGACCUUCACUCUGGUAAGGGCAUCAGUUACUUUUCUGGAAUAAAAGGCGGAGUUAGAGCACUUAUCAGAUGCUGUUUCAUGGCUUGUUUUAGUUAAUUUAUCAUGCAGAUAACUAACAUUUGGGUAUCUUUUUGUUUUAGGUCUUAUUUUCUGACUGUUAGGCCUAUCUUACACAUAAGUUCUACUAUCAGUAUACUUGGCAGCAUGACUUUUUUUUUUUUUUACAGUUAAUUUAAUGAAAAUCAGCACCAUUGUAAAUGAUAGUAAUUGUAACAACAUAGUUACUGGGUGAAGGAGUAGGGGAGACACUCAGUAACCAUCUAUUUACCUAGACACUUAUGCAGGGGUACAUGCUAGGUGGCUUUAUUCAGAUUCGGGUACAUUGGAAUCACAUCAUGACUUUGAGUCUGAUGGCUGUGUAGAUAAAGAUUUAAGCAAGUGCCUUGUGUUUGCUGGAAAAUAUUAAAACUCAUUUGGGUGAAAGCUUCCCAGAUGAUGAUAAUUAAUAGCACUUCUGCCUUUUUCCUGGAGUAACUUUUAGAUUGAGUCACAUAUGAUAGUAUAAAAGUCCAAAAUUUUCUGGGUUUACCUUUGUUUUAUUUUUCAUAUAUAUAUUCACUGUCUGCCUGGAAAUAGCCUUGGUUUACCUUAUUUUUUUGUAUAUGUAAAACUAUUCAUAUUUGAUUUUAUUCCAAUAUUAUAUAUGAUGGAAAAGCCAGAAUUGUCUGGCAGAAUUUAAUUCUUCCUUGGAUCUCUAGUUCUGUUUUUAAUAUCAGGUUCCUUCAUCAAAUUUUACUACUGUAGCUCUGUGAUAUAAUUUCAUUUCUUGUCAAUUAUGGUCACAUAUAGACAAGUACUUGGUCACAAUUAGCUCAAAAGAAUCCCCAUUUCUUAAGGUGCUCAGUCAAUCACCUUUAUUUUGAGAUGGUAGUUUUUCAAGUUAGUAUUACUUACUAGCUUUCUUGAUGAAUAUAAAAAUGUUGUCUCCAUCAUACAGAGCUGAGCCUCUUGUGGUAUAUUAAGAUAAGUCCCAUUCUUAAUCACAGAAGAACAUGGAUAUUUUAGUUUUUGGAGUACCCAGAAUUGUAAAGAUUUUGUUUCAUUUUGUUUUAGGAUAGCUUCUCUGCCUAAUACUAUAGGAUAUGUCAUGUUCGUUAUUGUAGCCACCUCCCUCAGAUGUUUUUCACUAUUUUUAAAUUAUAUAAUGACCAGUAGAUUCACAGUAGCAUGUACUUGACAAGUGCCAUGGAUAUUUAAGAAGAAGGUAAAUAAUUUUAAUAUUUUUUGCUGUAAUUUUAUAGGAGCAGUGGACUGUAAGAGAAAUAUCUAUAAAUCAGAGAGUAUUUAGGAAACUUUGUAUUUUAUAGGUGGUCAUUAAAGUGAUCUUCAGGAUAUAAGAUAGUUUACACAAACUUUAUUCUCCUGAUAGGAAAUUUUUAUUCAUUUUCCUACCACUCAGCACUUUUGUUCUGCCUUGUACUGCUUAUGAGGAUUAAUGUUUUAAAUUUGCUUUAUUUGUGCUUUUCAGAGAGUUGUCAUAAUUGUGGCAGUUGUGUUUGUGGCACUGUAAAUGCUGAAAUUCAUGGGAAACUUACCAAAUGACUGCUUGAGUGUUAUUUCCCAUUAAAUUGGGUAGCUGUCACAAUAACCAGAAGAAAUCUUGUGGCCCUUUUGAAGAAAGCCAUGUAUGUUUUGUUACCUAGGUUCAUAGUAUUUUAAUUUAAAGGCAAAGAGAAGCAUUCUACUUAUUUGUCUUAUAAACCAUUAAUCGUUUUUUGUGCAGAAGAGAGCUUAUUUUGUUAUACUGCUUUGUAUAAUGGAAAUAAGUCACAUUCUGGGGGAAAAAAACUGGAAUUGUUUGUAUUUUGUUUUUUUGGGGGGGGAUCUUUAUGUGAAAAAUCAGAGCUACUUGUUACCAUAAGCCCUUACUAUCAACAAGAUAAUUAUUUGUAAUCACUUUUUUAUCCCAGGUUGGAAUUGCUUUCCCCUUCUAAGUUAUCUUCCCUUAAUAAUAUUUAUGAUACCAGGACAGUGAGGGUAUAAGAGCAAAUGUAGUGAGGUAUUCAAAAAUCCUGCAUAUAUGGACUCAAAAGUUCUUUAGUUAUUUGAAUUAUAUAUAGCUAUAUUAUUUUAUUAGCUUGGGUUGUCAGAAGAUUGCCAAUUUUAAGAGUAAAGAGGAGAGAGAUAAGUAAUAAAAAUAGAGGAGGGGAAGAAAAUGGCUCCCUUACUGGUCUUAGUAAUCUUCUAUAUAGUUAAUGAGCUAAAAAAUGAUACUUAAAGUUCCAGGUUUGGUACCGCUAGCAUAGAAACAUUGCCUUUCCUACACAUUCCUCAUCAUUGUUUCCUCAGAAAAUUAUUUUAAGAGUUUGUGAAACCAGAUUAAAUAUCUAUAUUCAGUUUGGCCUAAUUUUUAAAAAUAAAUAUUUAUACUCCAGCUUUUGUGUAUUUGGUGUACAUCACCACUUAUGCAAAUCAAGGAUCAGAAAACUGGAGGUUAGCCAUCUCCAUUAUUUCCUUUUGCACAUUGGGUACAGUGGGUGGCAUUAGUAUGCACUAGCUGCAAAGUCACAGCACCUUAUGGAAAUAAGUAUGUUUAUUAUAAUAAAAAAAAGUUAAGCUGCAUCUCUGUAGAUUAUUUACUUUGCAGACUGUAAAGCUGCCCUAUCUUUUCCAGCAGAAUUUACUCUUCCAUUCUUAAUUCUUUUUUGAAAUAUCUUAAAUAAUUUAACAUUCCUUUAUAACUUCUUAACAGUGUCAAAACUGGGGUAGAAGGGAUUUUAUUUUUUCCCAAAAGGGUUCCAUCUUUGCUAUCUGUUGAUCAGCCUUAGAAAAUCUAAGUAUGAUCAAUAAAUUUUAAUGGUUGAUGGCAUCCUGUGUCAGCUGGAGUAGUUGGUUGUGAAUAUUAAAACCUAGUACUAUUUUCCCUCAGUAACAUGUAAUUGCUACAUUUUUUAUAAGAAGGUAUGGUUAGAAAAAAAUGUGAAAGAUCACUUAAACCAAAGCCAGUUACAAGGAGUAAUCUCUCCUGUUGGUUUACCUUCACCUCAGAACUACAAGAAUAUUACAAUACAUAGUGAAUAGUUGUCUGUAACAUUUCUACCAGUUGUUUCAGUAGCAUAUUGGUCUUGGCAUUUCUUGGCACUGUGGUUCUGCUGUAUUAUUUGUGAUGUCUUAUUGUUUGUGAGCUUUUGUUUUUUUUUUAAAGAAAAAACAAAAACUAAGUGGGACUAUGUAUGUAGAUGUGUGUCAGUACCAAAAAGUUAUUUUCUCAAAUCCCUAAAUUUCUGAUUUCCAUUCAAGUCUUUUAAACUCUUUCCUGCUGAAUAGCAAAGAACUUUUAUUUUCCACUUUCCUAUAUUCCUAAAAAGUGUGAACAAUGCGUUUCAGUUGACUGUAUUGCAUACUUUUUUGCUGAAGACUUUUUCUGUAAACACAAUUGCCUUGUUCAGUUUUGUUGUAAACUGACUUACCAUAAGAUGCACUGUUGAUAAUGCUUUCUGAUGUGUGUUUGAUAAGAGUGAUAAAAUAAAAGCUU
rnacentral:lncRNA from 1 species